GAUGAACGCUGGCGGCGUGCCUAAUACAUGCAAGUCGAGCGAACAGACGAGGAGCUUGCUCCUCUGACGUUAGCGGCGGACGGGUGAGUAACACGUGGAUAACCUACCUAUAAGACUGGGAUAACUUCGGGAAACCGGGGCUAAUACCGGAUAAUAUAUUGAACCGCAUGGUUCAACAGUGAAAGACGGUUUUGCUGUCACUUAUAGAUGGAUCCGCGCCGCAUUAGCUAGUUGGUAAGGUAACGGCUUACCAAGGCAACGAUGCGUAGCCGACCUGAGAGGGUGAUCGGCCACACUGGAACUGAGACACGGUCCAGACUCCUACGGGAGGCAGCAGUAGGGAAUCUUCCGCAAUGGGCGAAAGCUUGACGGAGCAACGCCGCGUGAGUGAUGAAGGUCUUCGGAUCGUAAAACUCUGUUAUUAGGGAAGAACAAAUGUGUAAGUAACUAUGCACGUCUUGACGGUACCUAAUCAGAAAGCCACGGCUAACUACGUG
rnacentral:rRNA from 1 species